GACGGAGGGUGCAAGCGUUGCUCGGAAUCACUGGGCGUAAAGGGUGCGUAGGCGGUCUCGCAAGUCUGGCGUGAAAGCCCAAGGCUCAGCCUUGGAAGUGCGCUCGAAACGGCGAGGCUGGAGUGCUGGAGGGGAGAGUGGAAUUCCCGGUGUAGCGGUGAAAUGCGCAGAUAUCAGGAGGAACACCGGUGGCGAAGGCGGGUCUCUGGGCCGAUACUGACGCUGAGGAGCGAAAGCGUGGGGAGCGAACAGG
rnacentral:rRNA from 1 species